rnacentral:rRNA from 1 species
UACAGAGGGUGCAAGCGUUAAUCGGAAUUACUGGGCGUAAAGGGUGCGUAGGUGGUUGAAUAAGUUAGGUGUGAAAGCCCUGGGCUUAACCUGGGAAUUGCGCCUAAUACUGUUUAGCUAGAGUACUGUAGAGGAAGGUGGAAUUUCCGGUGUAGCGGUGAAAUGCGUAGAUAUCGGAAGGAACAUCAGUGGCGAAGGCGACUUUCUGGACAGAUACUGACACUGAGGCACGAAAGCAUGGGGAGCAAACAG